rnacentral:rRNA from 1 species
AUACGGAGGGUGCAAGCGUUAUUCGGAAUCACUGGGCGUAAAGGACGCGUAGGCGGGUUUGUAAGUCAGGUGUGAAAUCCUACAGCUUAACUGUAGAACUGCACUUGAAACUACAGACCUAGAGUAUGGGAGGGGCAGAUGGAAUUAGUGGUGUAGGGGGAAAAUCCGUAGAUAUCACUAGGAAUACCGAAAGCGAAGGCGAUCUGCUGGAACAUAACUGACGCUGAGGCGUGAAAGCGUGGGGAGCAAACAGGAUUAGAAACCCUAGUAGUCC